GAGUUUGAUCGUGGCUCAGAGUGAACGCUGGCGGUAGGCCUAACACAUGCAAGUCGAACGGUAACAGGUCUUUCGGGAUGCUGACGAGUGGCGGACGGGUGAGGAAUACAUCGGAAUCUGCUCAGUCGUGGGGGAUAACGCAUGGAAACGUGCGCUAAUACCGCAUACGACCUUCGGGUGAAAGCAGGGGAAUCUUUAGGGAUCCUUGCGCGAUUGAAUGAGCCGAUGUCGGAUUAGCUAGUUGGUAGGGUAAAAGCCUACCAAGGCGACGAUCCGUAGCUGGUCUGAGAGGAUGAUCAGCCACACUGGGACUGAGACACGGCCCAGACUCCUGCGGGAGGCAGCAGUGGGGAAUAUUGGACAAUGGGGGCAACCCUGAUCCAGCCAUACCGCGUGGGUGAAGAAGGCCUUCUGGGUUGUAAAGCCCUUUUGUUGGGGAAGAAAAACAACGGGUUAAUACCCCGUUGGUAUGACGGUACCCAAAGAAUAAGCACCGGCUAACUUCGUGCCAGCAGCCGCGGUAAUACGAAGGGUGCAAGCGUUACUCGGAAUUACUGGGCGUAAAGGGUGCGUAGGUGGUUGCGCCAGUCUGUCGUGAAAGCCCUGGGCUUAACCUGGGAAUGGCGAUGGAAACUGUGCAACUAGAGUGUGACAGAGGGUGGUGGAAUUCCUGGUGUAGCAGUGAAAUGCGUAGAGAUCAGGAGGAACAUUCGUGGCGAAGGCGGCCACCUGGGUCAACACUGACACUGAGGCACGAAAGCGUGGGGAGCAAACAGGAUUAGAUACCCUGGUAGUCCACGCCCUAAACGAUGCGAACUGGAUGUUGGGUCCAACUUGGGAUUCAGUAUCGAAGCUAACGCGUUAAGUUCGCCGCCUGGGGAGUACGGUCGCAAGACUGAAACUCAAAGGAAUUGACGGGGGCCCGCACAAGCGGUGGAGUAUGUGGUUUAAUUCGAUGCAACGCGCAGAACNCUUACCUGGCCUUGACAUGCACGGA
rnacentral:rRNA from 1 species